rnacentral:rRNA from 1 species
UUGGCUACUAUGCCAGCUGGUGGAUUGCUCGGCUCAGGCGCUGAUGAAGGACGUGCCAAGCUGCGAUAAGCUGUGGGGAGCCGCACGGAGGCGAAGAACCACAGAUUUCCGAAUGAGAAUCUCUCUAACAAUUGCUUCGCGCAAUGAGGAACCCCGAGAACUGAAACAUCUCAGUAUCGGGAGGAAAAGAAAA